CUGGGAGGACCAUCUCCUAAGGCUAAAUACUCUCUAGUGACCGAUAGUGAACCAGUACCGUGAGGGAAAGGUGAAAAGCACCCCGGAAGGGGAGUGAAAUAGAACCUGAAACCGUGUGCUUACAAGUAGUCAGAGCCCGUUAAUGGGUGAUGGCGUGCCUUUUGUAGAAUGAACCGGCGAGUUACGAUUUGAUGCAAGGUUAAGCAGUAAAUGUGGAGCCGUAGCGAAAGCGAGUCUGAAUAGGGCGUUUAGUAUUUGGUCGUAGACCCGAAACCAGGUGAUCUACCCUUGGUCAGGUUGAAGUUCAGGUAACACUGAAUGGAGGACCGAACCGACUUACGUUGAAAAGUGAGCGGAUGAACUGAGGGUAGCGGAGAAAUUCCAAUCGAACCUGGAGAUAGCUGGUUCUCUCCGAAAUAGCUUUAGGGCUAGCCUCAAGUGAUGAUUAUUGGAGGUAGAGCACUGUUUGGACGAGGGGCCCCUCUCGGGUUACCGAAUUCAGACAAACUCCGAAUGCCAAUUAAUUUAACUUGGGAGUCAGAACAUGGGUGAUAAGGUCCGUGUUCGAAAGGGAAACAGCCCAGACCACCAGCUAAGGUCCCAAAAUAUAUGUUAAGUGGAAAAGGAUGUGGCGUUGCCCAGACAACUAGGAUGUUGGCUUAGAAGCAGCCAUCAUUUAAAGAGUGCGUAAUAGCUCACUAGUCGAGUGACACUGCGCCGAAAAUGUACCGGGGCUAAACAUAUUACCGAAGCUGUGGAUUGUCCUUUGGACAAUGGUAGGAGAGCGUUCUAAGGGCGUUGAAGCAUGAUCGUAAGGACAUGUGGAGCGCUUAGAAGUGAGAAUGCCGGUGUGAGUAGCGAAAGACGGGUGAGAAUCCCGUCCACCGAUUGACUAAGGUUUCCAGAGGAAGGCUCGUCCGCUCUGGGUUAGUCGGGUCCUAAGCUGAGGCCGACAGGCGUAGGCGAUGGAUAACAGGUUGAUAUUCCUGUACCACCUAUAAUCGUUUUAAUCGAUGGGGGGACGCAGUAGGAUAGGCGAAGCGUGCGAUUGGAUUGCACGUCUAAGCAGUAAGGCUGAGUAUUAGGCAAAUCCGGUACUCGUUAAGGCUGAGCUGUGAUGGGGAGAAGACAUUGUGUCUUCGAGUCGUUGAUUUCACACUGCCGAGAAAAGCCUCUAGAUAGAAAAUAGGUGCCCGUACCGCAAACCGACACAGGUAGUCAAGAUGAGAAUUCUAAGGUGAGCGAGUGAACUCUCGUUAAGGAACUCGGCAAAAUGACCCCGUAACUUCGGGAGAAGGGGUGCUCUUUAGGGUUAACGCCCAGAAGAGCCGCAGUGAAUAGGCCCAAGCGACUGUUUAUCAAAAACACAGGUCUCUGCUAAACCGUAAGGUGAUGUAUAGGGGCUGACGCCUGCCCGGUGCUGGAAGGUUAAGAGGAGUGGUUAGCUUCUGCGAAGCUACGAAUCGAAGCCCCAGUAAACGGCGGCCGUAACUAUAACGGUCCUAAGGUAGCGAAAUUCCUUGUCGGGUAAGUUCCGACCCGCACGAAAGGCGUAACGAUUUGGGCACUGUCUCAACGAGAGACUCGGUGAAAUCAUAGUACCUGUGAAGAUGCAGGUUACCCGCGACAGGACGGAAAGACCCCGUGGAGCUUUACUGUAGCCUGAUAUUGAAAUUCGGCACAGCUUGUACAGGAUAGGUAGGAGCCUUUGAAACGUGAGCGCUAGCUUACGUGGAGGCGCUGGUGGGAUACUACCCUAGCUGUGUUGGCUUUCUAACCCGCACCACUUAUCGUGGUGGGAGACAGUGUCAGGCGGGCAGUUUGACUGGGGCGGUCGCCUCCUAAAAGGUAACGGAGGCGCUCAAAGGUUCCCUCAGAAUGGUUGGAAAUCAUUCAUAGAGUGUAAAGGCAUAAGGGAGCUUGACUGCGAGACCUACAAGUCGAGCAGGGUCGAAAGACGGACUUAGUGAUCCGGUGGUUCCGCAUGGAAGGGCCAUCGCUCAACGGAUAAAAGCUACCCCGGGGAUAACAGGCUUAUCUCCCCCAAGAGUUCACAUCGACGGGGAGGUUUGGCACCUCGAUGUCGGCUCAUCGCAUCCUGGGGCUGUAGUCGGUCCCAAGGGUUGGGCUGUUCGCCCAUUAAAGCGGUACGCGAGCUGGGUUCAGAACGUCGUGAGACAGUUCGGUCCCUAUCCGUCGUGGGCGUAGGAAAUUUGAGAGGAGCUGUCCUUAGUACGAGAGGACCGGGAUGGACAUACCUCUGGUGUACCAGUUGUCGUGCCAACGGCAUAGCUGGGUAGCUAUGUGUGGACGGGAUAAGUGCUGAAAGCAUCUAAGCAUGAAGCCCCCCUCAAGAUGAGAUUUCCCAACUUCGGUUAUAAGAUCCCUCAAAGAUGAUGAGGUUAAUAGGUUCGAGGUGGAAGCAUGGUGACAUGUGGAGCUGACGAAUACUAAUCGAUCGAAGACUUAAUCAA
rnacentral:rRNA from 1 species